AACUUUCGACAAUGGAUCACUUGGCUCUCGCAUCGAUGAAGAACGCAGCGAAGUGCGAUAAGUAAUGUGAAUUGCAGAAUUCAGUGAAUCAUCGAAUCUGUGAACGCACCUUGCGCCCCUUGGUAUUCCGAGGGGCAUGCCUGGUUGAGUGUCUUGAAAUCAUCAGACCUAACCGGUCUUGUUGCCGGCGCGGUUUGGACUUGGGGGUUCUUUGCUGCCGCUCGCGGUGGCUCCCCUUAAAUGUAUCGGUCGGGCUUUCGUGCGGCUCUGUCCCUUGGCGUUGUAUUACCCUCGUCGCUGGAUGGCUCGCGAUUCUGCGCCCCUCCCUGACCUGCCUCUGGAGUGGCGGUCUCUAACAUUUUGUGAUCUGACCUCAAAUCAGGUAGGACUACCCGCUGAACUUAAGCAUAUCAAUAAGCGGAGGAU
rnacentral:misc_RNA from 1 species